rnacentral:tRNA from 1 species
GCCGGUGUGGCGGAAUUGGUAGACGCAGCGGAUUCAAAAUCCGCCGCCUUUACGGGUGUGCCAGUUCGAGUCUGCCACCGGCACCA